GCAGUAGCCGCGGUAAUACGUAGGGUGCGAGCGUUAAUCGGAAUUACUGGGCGUAAAGCGUGCGCAGGCGGUUGUGUAAGACAGGUGUGAAAUCCCCGGGCUUAACCUGGGAACUGCGCUUGUGACUGCACAGCUAGAGUAUGGCAGAGGGGGGUGGAAUUCCACGUGUAGCAGUGAAAUGCGUAGAGAUGUGGAGGAACACCGAUGGCGAAGGCAGCCCCCUGGGCCAAUACUGACGCUCGUGCACGAAAGCGUGGGGAGCAAACAGGAUUAGAUACCCCCGUAGUCCCUGUCUCUUAUAC
rnacentral:rRNA from 1 species